CCUGGUCUCAGGCCUCAGGCUCCUUACUGCCAAGAGAGGAAUGUGGCCUAUGUAAUCUCCGGUGUUCUUUCUAGCAGUAGAAUGCUCUGCUUCCAAGAGCACACAAGCCUUCAUGUAGCCUGUGUAACUAUGACAUGAAUUUCCAGCUUUCACAAGAGGCCACCUCCGAAUCAUGAAUAUCUUCCCGCCAGGCAGAUUUGGAAGGCGAUUGACUCUCCAGUUUGGGUCAUGGAUGUGGAUCCUGCCUUGGGAAUCCCCGGAUUCAACUCCCUCAUCCCAACUCAAAAGGGCUGAUUCUGUUUCUAACCUGUCAGUCAAUUUGGUUCAUCAGAAUCGUCUCUCUGGCCAGCUGACCUGGGAAAGAAAUGCAUCUGGCACCUCUCUGUUGUCUGUCAUCUCCAGUAAUAUCUACAAAGCAGUGUCUUGCCUGAGCCUACAGACCCCUCCCUUACCUGGAAGAACCACCCUCCCCCACCCCCUGGAAGGGAGCCAACGAAGCCAUUGAAAACUCAUGUCUUUCACGGUUUGAUGUCACGGCCUCCGCGUGGACAUCUCUCUGCUUGGGUACAGGAAGCGGACAGCGUCUGUUCCUGUGUCCUCCUCAAUGGAAAUAAAUUCAGCCUCAGGCGGGCCGAAGCCCAGGAACAAAUUGAGUCCUCAGAAGACCGCAUUAUCUGCUUUGCAAACAGCCCAGGAAUCUCGGCUCCUUAGUGCUGAUAGUGGUGAGAGAGCCUCCAACACUUACUCCUUCCGCUCCAUCAAUCAGCCUCGGGGUUCUCAGUAGCUCAGAGUCAUGAGACCACAGAAACAUGGGAUGACAGAGCAUGGAAAGGUCUUAGAGAUCAUUAAAUUGACCCACCUCAUUUGGUGGGAGCAAACCUGCUGGUCAUCAGGUAACUUAUAUUACGUGCUUUGAGGACCACUCCCACAGCGGCUGAGUACUUGUAGCCUGUAAAGCAUGGCAACCAGGACAGACAAGCGUCCAUCCAGGUUCCUGACACCAGGACUCUCUAGAAGAAAGAAAAGGCCAAGAGGAAACUUCCAAGGAAGCUAUUUGUCACCUUGUCCCGACUUGCAGAUGGGGAGUGAGGAAAUUUGUCCCAAGGAUCACGGCUGGGAAGCGGCCAGGCGCAGCGUCCCACUCGGGCCUGGGUGAUGCUCAGUCCUCCCUGUGAUGGAUCCUCCUGCCCCGCCCUGUCUGUGGGUCCAGCCUGCACAAUGUCUGUGAAGCGGUUCAGCGAACACUGUGAGCACGUGUUGCCAAGAUGCCUAGCCCCAUGGAGGGCAGCUUCCAGAGGAGGGAAAAGGCUCAGAGCAGUCAAUCUCCUUGUGCAGGCGCCACAGCUAAGAGCCGCUGCAGAACCACGCAGCACGCUGACUUGCCCCCGGGAGUCCCCUGUGGCACCGGGCUUCAUGUGGCUCUGUGUUGGGGGCUGGCACGGGCAGCGGGGCACCAGCUUCUCCCUCAGACGUGAACCCGAGGCAGAGAUAAGAGCAGCCUCAAGAUGCCACCUUCAGGACACCGAAGUGUCGUCUUCAGGACACCAGACAUUGGAAACGAAGCUUUGCUCCCGGGAACAUGUCAGGUACAACCAAACACACUGUCAGUAUCUGAGGGGGACAGGGGGACCUGCAGACCUCUCUGGUAGCAAACCCUCGUUCACCCCCCUGGAGCCGGCAGCUGGCGACGGUGCUGGGGGCGGUGGAGAGCCUGGCCCUGGGAGGCUGGUCUGCAGCCAGACCCCAGGUUCAGGCAUGCCCCACCAUCUCCUGUGAGAGCUUAGGGAAGUCACCUAGCCUCCUGGUGCCUUAGCUUCCUCACCUGCAAAAUGGGGACCUUAGCAGUAACUCACAGAGCGGUGAUGCGGUAAGUCAGUUUCUAUAUGAAAGGGGCUUGAGUGGUGUCUGGAAGUGGUGGCAUAAACGAUCCCCUGGGAUGGUGGAGGCCGACCUUUGGCGCCCCCAUGACAAUGCCUUUGCCAUGGCAGCUGCUGCUGCUAAGUCAGGCUCUGAGUUUGUCUUGGCUUGACUUGUUUCCAUUUUCAAUUGAAAAUUGAAUUUGGAUAGACUUCAGCCUGACUGGGUCUGCUCCCUGGCCCUCGGCCAGCCAGCUCUGAGUAACUGCAGACAGGGUGGGGUCAUCGGGAUUUGGUUAUUGGAUUUUUUUUCCCCCCUGCGGUUUUGGGCAACCUGCUCCAUGACGGGCAGCUGCGUCGUCUUAAGGCUGGACUUUCCGGGAGAGCAUGUGGGUCACUCAGGGCGUCAGCUGGAAAGGACUGCUUUUGGAUGAGGUCAUCUGCCUGGACCAGGAGCUGCUUCCUUUUGCCUUGCAGCCCCUCAGUUGAUCAAAGUCUGGGGACACCCAGCUCCAACGGCUGUGGCUUCAUUGCUAGACAAUUGGGACGGCUGUUUCCAUUUGUGAGGAUGUGACUGCUCCUUGCUGAUCAUCUCUGUGCUUCUCUGGCCAUAAGCCCCGUCUCCAGCACCCCCAACACCUCACCCCCCUGAGCUCUGGGGGUAGGCAGAGGAGGGGAGCCCCAGUCAGCCGCGUCCCUGCUCCAGACAUGUAUCCCACUGACCCCCACCAUGAGGGUCUCUUCUACUGGCUGGCAUCCAGUUAGCGGGGCUGAUGGGCCCUUUCCUGGCUGUUCUCCAACUGUCCUGAAGUGUGCUCACUGGGACCCAUCUCUCCCUGCCCCUGGGAACCACUGCAGGCCCGUUCCCCAUGACACCAGGCCUGGCCAUGUUGAAAGUCCUAUGAAUCUAAAACUUGAAUGAAGAGCAUUUAGCUUGGGGCACACCCUUUGUGCAUGCUUGUGUGCAUGCGCGCGGGGUGGGGCUUUUUAUUUAUUAAAAAAUAUUUGUCUAGGGCAAGAAGUACCCAGAUACACCAGCCCAGAGCACUAAAUCAUGGGAACAGGGAGGCAGAUUGCCUUCAUAUCAUACAGAGACCAAAGACUCCUCAUGGAAGGACCCAACACAAGAUUCUUCUAGCAGAUCGAGGUGCUGGCAGCCCCCUGAAGCAAUGGGUUAUGAUCAGCGGGGGGCAGUCCCGAAGCCCCAGCACUGACACUGCAUUUUGUCAGUGAUGUCGGAAUGGCACCCUCUUCUGAGCGCUGUCGUACCACGCUGGGCCACUGGCAGCAGAUGCAAAUGGAGUCGAUAACUCUGCAAAAAGUCGCCAGACAAUUUAUCCUGCUGGCACCAAGCCUAGAAUUAUAAUCAGAUCUUGACUUCUUCAAAGCUUUCUGGCUUUGGAUUUUCCAAAUCGAAAAUAAAUAUCGAGGGCAAUUACCUUCCUUUAGUCCUCUGAUGUGCGAAGGAGAGUUUUCAUCCAUUAAUUCAAGAACUCUUUCAUUUCAUUCGGAAGGUAUUAGUCCAUGGAAAUUGUUAACUCAAUAUCAACACAGGCCGUCUAGGUUUUGACUAAAAAGAGAGAGGAUUUAUUAUGCCCUGGGUUAAUAUUUUCCUCUCUUUAAGGUCUUGGGCAUGCCAGACACUCCUUCUCAGACAAAAACGGCUGUUUUCUUCCCAUUACUGGACGCAUUGUUUGUCCCCCUUUACCUGUUAUCCUCAGAAUAACCUCAAGGGGGCAGCAAACCACAAUGUCUGGAGGUGGUUCUGGGGCAUUCCCUGCAAACGCAGAGCUGAUCCGGGACUCUCCUCCAGAAGGGGAAUGGUUAUUGGAUUACUGGUUGCCUUCUCCGGAGCUUCUUUGGGCUUGACAGGAAAGCACUUCUCUUGGAGGGAAAGCCAGAGCUCCUCCAGUCUCAUUUUUAGAGAGCUGCGAACAUGACCAGACCUAUUAAUUACUUAAUUGAGGUUCUGGGCUUUGAAGAUGAAAAGUGCUGUGUAAGUGGCGAGUUCUGUUGUUUCCAGUCUGGGGAGCUCUUUAUUGCGGCUCUUCUGAGUAUCUCUUUCAAGUCAUCAAGUUCACUCUGGUGACCUUCCUCGGUGAUACAGACAACCCACCCCACCCCUGAGGUUCAAAGAAGUGUCUCGUGGGUGAACCCACUUGGAAACACAUCCUUGAUCGCAAGCACACCAAGCUGCCCACAGAGUGCCAGCAAAGGGCUUAGUCACCCUCGGCGUGCGUCCCUCUCACACAUCCAGUCACAGGCCCCCUGUGGUGGCUGAGAAUUUGCAGGGGUGCUGGUUCCUUAAAGACUCUAUGCUUGGCUGAGAUAAGCUGAUGGGUGUCUUGGUGGCUUUGUGGCCCUGCCCGGGCCCACAUAAGUGAGCAGCAUCUCCAUGUGGGACGCCAGCUCGGCCCGGGGUUGAGUAGCAUCUGGGUUCAUCUUCACCUGUGGGAAGCAGGGGUGAGGGGAGACAACCCUGCACGGAUGGAGCAAAGUCAUAGGCAAUAAUGGAAACACUCGAACGUGGAGUUGAUGCUUUGGUUUACAAAGAACUUUCACAUCUGACAUUAUCUCAGUUGAACUUCUCCAAGACCCGGUGAAGCGGCUGAGGAUGUGGGGGGAGCGGCAGGAGAAUCCCAGAGCAGCAGCAAGAGAGGUGCAGGGCCGGAAGUGAAGACCAGGAGGGCAGGGCUUCUCUCUCGAAAGCCCGCCGCCUCCCUUCCUCCUCUCCUCCUUCCGCCCUCCCUCCUUCCGAUUAGGUGGGAAUGCUGAAAUGGGUACAAAGGCAAAAUCCUAAAGGCAAACCCCCAAAGCUGACCUAACCUAAGAUAUUCGCCUCCGUGGUAACAGAAUUAAAAAGUCAAUUCCUAUAAAGCAGGGCGUUUGACACACUCUGCUGCCCUUAGUAAUUUUUGUAGAUGCUGUACAUAGUUUUUUUUCGCAUCUAAAUGGAGGAGCAAGAGAAAUCACGGAAGAAACUUACAAAGUCUAGACUCACUGCAAAGGGCUGUGAGGGAAAACAGGAACCCCCGAUCCAAGGUGGUGUUUUCCUUCCCAGGCUGGGCGUGUGCGCGUCUUCGCAGUGCGGGGUCCCUUCACGUGCAGACCAUGGCCUCACAUAGCUCGAUAAAUCUGCCUCACUUAGUUUUUUGAGAGUCUCUACAAUUCCCUUAGCUGGAUUACUACGACCUCAAGAACAAGACCGUGACUUUCUCCACUUGAUAGUCCAAAAAACACUGAGCACAGACGCUGCCUACGGCCUGUCUUUGCCACACGUUUUCUGAGAGCACGGAUGCACGAGAGAAGGGACCGGAGAACGGAGGCAGGCUGCCCAGUUCAGCAGAAGAGCUGUGUAGUCGGUAAAAUGGCGCUGGAUACAAACAAGUGUUGAAGCCUUACUAUGGACCAGGCACUACUCUGGGGGUUUUAUAUAUAAUCUCAUUCAUCCUUAUACUUUACAGAAGAAGAAACUAAGGUACAGGAAGGUUGAAGAACUUGCUUAGAGUCACGCUAUUAGUAAUCGUCGGGUGGAAUUCAUCCUCAGGCUGUUGCACAUAACACGUCAAACUUAGCCACUACGGUCUACCAUUCUUGUGAAUUUUCAACUAGGCCACUAAUCUUCAAGGCUGCUGGCAGAAAUUGUGGCGCCUUCCUUUACAAUCGUAUUUGGAACGAUGAUUUUAUUCUACGAUGUGUCUGAUUCUGUUUAAAGGAAGGUUGUGCGUUCAUCUUGAUUCUCAUUGGAAGAGACACACCGUGACCAAGAUUUCUGAUGCCAUUGGGUGCUGAGCAGCAGAGACCCCCUUGGUGGUCAUCCACUAGUCCUCAGCUUGGUUCAUGGUCCCUCCUCCCCUACCAUCUCCCUGCUGGCACCCUUGGCUCCUGCCAGACUAUGCUGCGUGCUGUCUCCUGCCCACGGCUUGGGUUCGGGGCUCUCUAGCUCAGUCCUGUAAGUGCAGAGGUAAAUUGGCAUUGGAGACAAGAGUAUAAUUAAUCCUUUCAGUAUCACCCUCCUCUCAUGGCCAAGACACAUAUAUUCCCACUUUGGAGAAGCGAUUCCUGAAAUCAUAAUGACAGCCAACACUGCUGUGUUCAUUCCAAGAACUUCAAGUACAACACACAUAAGUAGGUCAUUUGAUCCUCAAAUGUUUUUUUGGAAUAACAAUCAUACCUACCUCAGGUGUCAUACCUACAUGUGCAUGGUGAUAUAAAGUGGAAACAGGAAUUAUUGAAAUGUGAUAUUUAAAAUUUAAGCAUUUUUUAAACUAAAAGUUCAAAAAUCCAAAAAGAAAUUAUGAUGGAAUGCACAACAGUGGGAGUUUUGGAAAAAUAAGGGUUUUUUUUUAGCAAAACACACACGCACAAGCACACACACUUUGCUGUCUUGGGAACUCCAGCAGCCUGGGGGGUGGCCCCUGGGACUGGGCAUUGGAAACCCCAGCCCUGCCCUGGGCAGGAGCCGCCGAGUCCCUUGCAGCCGUGGAAUCCUUGUCUCCAUUCUCUGGACCCCUGGCAGCAGGCCCUCUUCCUCUCAGCGGGGCUGGCAGCCGCUCAUCCCUUUCCUGCUGUCACCACCCCUCAACUCUUUUUUUUUUCCUUCUUCUCCCCAAAGCCCCUGGGUGCAUAGUUGUAUAUUCUGGUUGUAGGUGCUUCUAGUUCUGCCAUGUGGGGCACCGCCUCAGCAUGGCUCAAUGAGCAGUGCUUGGUCUGCACCCAGCAUCUGAACCUGGGAAACUCUGAGCAUGCAGACUUAACCACUUGGCCAUGGGGCCGGCCCAUCAGCUCUUUUGAUUGCCUCCUCCCUCUGCCACUGCCUGCCAGACCCUCUGCCCUGAAACCAAUCCCUCAAAUCACUUCACGAUGCACCUUGAAACAUCCAUGUCAACACGUCAUUACUCAAAAUCCCACAGCAAAGAAAUGCAUUUUAGAACGUGACCCACUGCAUCUGUAAGCAUGUGCAGAGAUACAUGCUUACGUGCAUACAUAUAUGUGCAUAUACACACCCCCCCCCAGGAAAACCCGCGACAAGAUGAGUGAAAUAAGGUUUACUUUUCCUACAUGACACCCUCUCAGACAUUUAUUCCAUUCCAUUCCAUUCUAUUUUAUUCUAGUCUAUUCCAUUUUAUUCGAUUUCACUUCAUUAAAGCGAAUGCUGAUGCGGCCCCAGUAUCUUCAUUUCCUGGCCCCCUGAUGGGUUGCAUCCACACUUUGACUCAGAAGGAAAGUUCGAAAUCCUUAGCCUUCUUCUCAAGGUUCUUGCCAAUCUACCACCCCCAGGCUCCCCGCUCCUGCCAGCUGCCCCCAAUGUCCCUCCAGCCUUUUCUUCAGGACUCCACGUGAGAACUUUGAUUUUAUUCUCUCCAGACUGUCCCAGUUCUCAGUGCUUCCUGACGCUCUUCUCCCUGUCCUGGUUGGUGCCAUUCCCUACCUCAUCCUGCCGGACUCACGGGCUCAGUUCCACCCCUGCCUCCUUUCUGCAGCGUCCUCCACCAAGGUCCUCCUCUUUUGUUUCCUGCCCCACACAUCCGGCAUCUAGAUCAGGAGCAUGGGCUCUGCUUUCAUAACUCUUAAUUUAUGAACAACCCACCACUUCUAGGUGUGCUUCCCAGUCCAAACCAUCAGGAAAUGCUUGGCCAGGAACAGGGCACUUAGCACUUUAGCAAGUUACUGGUGCCCAGAACACCCAACCCCGCCUUCCCCAAGGCCCCCACCCUUGGGCUGCCUGUGGUGUGAUGGAGAAGAAGUGGGAAUGUUUUGGUAGCAAGCUGGAAUCAAAAGCCAAUUUUCCUGCAGAGAUAAACAAUGCUAUAUAGGUAGAUGCACCUGAAAAGGUGUUUUGAGCGCUGUGCUUAAAUACAUCGUGGUUAUGUCAGCCUUUAUGAGCUAGCCAAACAAGCUGCCCUCUAACUCGGAAAAUCAUUUUUACAAUUGCGCUACAUCCUGUACAAGUUCUAAAUCAUCGAGCAACAAACAACUUUUGGAAUUCUGCCUGUCCUUUGGUUGUCACCACCUGUACUGCCCAGUCUUACCACCUUUCCAGAUGGGUGUGUCUUCUCUCCCCAGCGGAUGCCAGGCCUCUGAGCACAAGCACUGUGUCCCCAGCCUCCCCCCAUUUGCUACGGGGCUGAGCAUGGCGCCUUGUGCAAGGUGGGGUCUCCCUCUGUGACCAUUUGUCAUCUCAUGACAUGUCGUCCUCCCUGCCUCCUCUGAGCACCCUGCGACCUCAGCUCCGUCUUUACCUUGGAUUAUCCCAGAGUAAAUGGGCCCGUCUGUUGUUUGGAAAAUCUUAAGGGAUACUUAGGAAAGAGAAAACAUGGAGAGAGAUGAGAAGGGAGAUAGAAGAGGAGAAGGAAGGAAGAAAGACUAGAAAAUAGAUAAGAAUGAGGGAACAGAAAUGAAGAGAGGAAGAAAGACAGGAGAGAAAAGGUAAAAAUAUGACAACGGGGGAGAAAAAGAGAGAUGAGGACAGAAAAAUAAGAGGAGGAGAAAACGGAAAGUCAAAACAAAAAGAAAAGAAAAAGGAAAAUGCUACUAAGCUGACGAGAAAUUGUUUUCCAGCAGAAAAAGGCAGAGAAGCCAGACUAGGGCGUGAGAACUAAGAUUCAGGAUUUCCAUCCUGGACACAAAGAGACCAAGGUGUAUGGAGUUUCAUUUCUACAAGAUGAAGAGGACUAUGGAGAUGGAUGCUGGCGAUGGCUGCACUACAUCAAGGGUGUAUUUACCACCAUUGAACUGUACCCUGAAGAAUGGUUCAGAUGGUAAAUUUCACAUUAUAUGUAUUUUACCACAAUGAAAAGAACAACUAAAAAAACACAAAAACCAAAGAUGCCUAUUUGAUCAACCCCCUAUUAAUGAACAACUAGGAGUUUGCAUUUAGUAUAUGGACUAAAUUUUAUUACAUAUUUUUCAAGUAUAAAGUUCUGAGCUUCAUGCUAGAUAUCCAAUAGAAUUAUUGAUUUAAAAUAAAUAAGAGAAAUGUUCCAGGGUCAAGGAUUGACUGAGAAGGGACAUGAGGGAAUUUUCUGGGGUGAUAGUAUUGUUCUAUAUCUUGAUAAGAGUUUAGAUUCCCUGGGUGCAUGCAUACACACUUAAGAUUUGCAAAUGUACACUUAAGGAUUGUACAUUUCCUUGGAGGUAAAUUUUACAUCAAAAGAAAAAACUGUAAAGAAAUAUUUAACUCUAAAAAAAAGAGUGACCAAGGAGAGGACUCGGGCAGGUAUUUCUGAUGGAUGAGGAGCUAUAGCCACCUAAUAGAGCCAACAGCUGUUUACAGACCCAAGCUAAGCUGGAGAGGAUGCGGGGGUCACUCCCUUUGCACUGGCCAGUGGCUUCAGGCUGUAGGCAGCCUUCAAGCCCUGGCCCAAGUCAGAACCUCUUCAGUGUAUGGCAUCACCUUACUGCUAAUGGAGCAUCUUCCCCUGAAAUUCCCAAGACAGUGGUCCCACCCAUCCUUGGAGAAGGAGGAGGAGAUGGCAAGGCCAUGGACGGUUCCAGGUGCUCUCAAGUCCCUAAGUGCUGUCCAGGGUGCGGCCCAGAGCACUUAUGUGAGGGACCAGUGCAUAUCUGCCUCAUGACACAUCAGGCUCUAAAAAAGCAAAGAGAAGUUAAGAAGAUUAAACUAGAUGCAAUGGUCCACUGGAAUGCCUUUCUGCUGACCCCUUAAACUGGCCUGUGUGUGGCAUGGAUGAUGGGAUUUUGGAGGACAAGGUGAAAUCAACCCUUUGUGGUCCUGUUCCAAAUGCCCUCUAUUCACUUACAACAUGUAUCUCUUAUGGAAGGUCUUUGAGCUACAAGGGGAAAAAAUAUCAGUUGAAGACUACACAACAGAAAACAACUUAAAAAUGAGUUUUUACUUUGAGAGAGGGAUAUGCACAAUGUUAUCUACUUUUUCGUUAAUGUACAACAGAAAACUCUAUCUAGUAAAAACAAAAAUAAUAAAAUACAUACAUUGGGUUAAUAUUGAGGUUAGUUGAAAGAAAGAGAGAAAGAGGAGGAGAGUAAGACUAGAUAGGAAAGAUGGAGAGAGGCAGACACAUAGAGGCAGAGAAGGAAAAUGAAGAGAGAGAGAGAGAAAGAUGAUCGACUGAGGGGGAAAAAGGGACAGAUACACAUGCAUAAAGCACACAGAUGCCCACAGGCAGACAGAGACCCUCAGAGACCAAUAAAGAAAGAUACACAUAUGGGUGAGGCACUUAUGAACGUAGGCAGGCCCACAGAUCUGUGCAGGAAGAAACAGUUGCAGCCUGGGAUCUCUUAGAGCAUCCCUGAAAGGUGGAAAAUGCUGUUCCUUUCCCGCAACUGCAGCACAAAUGAAGAUUGUGCCUGAUACUUUCACCGCAAUCAGAUGGUGUUAAGCUAAAGGUCAGAUAUCAGACAGACUGUCCCUACUCCUGAUUUAUUUGGAUGACAUACGGGUCCCAAUUUGGUGCUAAGCUUUUUCAUUUCCCUUCUCAGUUAAGACAGGUUUUUAAGCACUGUUUAUACCUUUAGAAUAAUUUGUCAUCAAUUCAUUUGGGCAUUAGGUGGGCAUCAGGGCCCCUUAAAGAUGUCCAGGUCCUAAUCUUCAGAACCUGAGACUAUGUUAUGUUACACAUCAAGGGAGAAUUGAGGUUACAGAUGGAACCGAGGUUGCUUAUCAGCUGACAUUAAAAUAAAGAGAUUAUCCUGGAUUAUACGGUGGGCUGGGUGUAAUCACAGGGUCUUUAAAUGGAGAAGCAGAAGAGUCAGAAGUGAAGAGGAGGCAUCAUGAGAAAGACUCAAAGAGCCAUUGCUAAUUUAGGAUGGAGGAAGGAGCCAGGAGCCACGGAAUGUAAGAGGCCUCUAGAAGCUGGAAAAGGCAAGAAAUGGAUUCUCCUCUGGAAUCUCCAGAAAGGAAAGCAGCCCUGCUGAAUACUUUGAUUUUCGCCCAGUAAGACCUGUUUCAGACUUCUGA
ensembl:lncRNA